rnacentral:lncRNA from 1 species
AGCCCUGAGAGUGGCAUCUAGCACCUGUAACCCUCACUUAGAAUGCAUGUGCCAAGAUUUCGGUGGAUAGCAAGUGCCGCAGGUAGCAGCAGCAGCAGAAGCAGCAGCAGCAAAACACACUUGUCACGGGUCAGAAUAUUUUACCUAAUUGGAAUCUAUGGGGUGAUGUGUUGAUUCCAGUGUGGAAAAGCAAAGAAGGCAUUUUGAGGAUGAAGCUGCGGGGGGGGGGGGGAGAUAAGGUAGAAAAGGCAUUUAUCCUGCAAUAUCAGGUGUAAUUUGGACCAUAAUUUGGAUCUGGAAAUAGAGUCAAAGGCCGAUUUCAGGUCCAUAAAGGCCACAAAUAGUUUUCCCUAUAGAGGUCUAGUCUACUUCUCAGCUAGGAGGGACAGCGCUAGGCAAUGGUCUGAUGUUGCGUGAUUCUUGUGAAAGGCAGCCUGAGCUUCAGAUAUUAUGUCAUUCAGAAAAGUUGUCAGUUUGAUACAGAGAAAGCGGGCAUACAGCUUUCCUAUUAUACAGAGCAAACUGAUAUGCCUAUAAUUAGAAGGCAUGUUUGACUGGCCUUUCUUAAAAAUUGGGACAACUAUUGCAUGUUUCCAACUGAUCAGUACUUUGCCUGAAUUGUUAACUGCUGUAACAAGUGCCGCAAGAAGAGGGGCCCACCAGUGCUGGUUUGAUGUAAUCAACUCAGCUGGAAUAAAGUCGUUUCCUGGGGCCUUGCCACUCUUCAGAUUCCUAAUUAAUGUGUAGGCGUCCAUCAACCGGGUUCCAUCAUGGCAGCAAUGACAUUUCUGCGGAGUCUUCAUCAUAAAAGCAGGGGGAGGAGUUCAAAUUGUCUGUAAAUAUUUUUCUGAAAUGGUUUUCCCAUACUUGGGCUGGGAUGGCACAGCUAGGGGCUGGGGAACUGUUACUUAGCGUACCGGAUACCAACUGCCAGAAGAGUUUGACUUCGUUAUUGUCAGGGAACCGCCAUCAGUGCCGGAGGGAGAGAGCAAAAGCCAGAGGGAUUCCAGAGAGCGUCCAGGGAUCGGGAGGAGCAGCCCAUCUUCUGGGGAAGAGAAUCAGCGUAGCACCAGUGGAGAAGGGGGGCAGAUGGGGGAAGCGGCGAGGCGGUCCCAUGACUCCUUGCCUGGGACCAGCGGGGAGAGUAGGGGUCCUCCGCUGCCCACGCCCUCCUUGCGCAGAAGGCUUUCGCACAGAGAGAGUAGGAGGAGACUAGGCGUCAAAGAGCUUCUUUGCUGGAAGAAGUUUAAGAAAUGCCCACUGACGGAUUCUGCCAGCGAUUGAGACAGCCACGGGUGAGUGGCUGUCCGGACAGAAAAGGUUCACUUAGGCAACCCAGCCAGGUGUUUGCACCCAGCCGGGGAGAUAAGCACCGGCUUACGCACGAGCAACCCCUACAACCACUACAGUUAUUUAGCAAAGCAUUCAGUAACAGGGACUAGGAAUUUUGUUCAAACUGGCUUUUUUUGUGGCCAAAAGGGUUUUGUACUCUUUUUUGAUAUUUAAACAAGUUGGAGGUAGAUCAUUUAAACCAGUGUUUCUAUAAGCCAAAUAAGAGUCCCUUAAGGCUUUCUUCUUCAUGUGGCACUCUUGGUCAAACCAGUUGCUCCUUUAACAAUGUGGGGCUUGCUGGCUAGAUUUGUGUUCGCUAAGACCACAUCCUGCAAGUACUCAAUGAGAUUUUCGUAAGCCGCCAGGGAAGAAUCUGUUGAAAGAGCAUUAAUUAUAGUUGGUCUUAAACUAAUUGCAGUUUGCGAAUUCAGUCUGGUCUCGGCUAAGAUAGCUAGCUCAGGGGUCCAUUUUUUCCUAUGCUUUGCUGACCCUUUAGCUUGACCGUUUAUCUCUUGUUCUAUGUGUGACCUUUGAGUUUUGGCCUGAGAUGGAGAGAAUCAGAGGGAGACAAUCACUCUCGGUUCUGUUAUCAAUACUAAAGUUUUUGAUUGAUUUAAAGGUCUUCCUGUUUGUGAGACAAUAGUCUACUGUGCUGGCUCCAUUAAUAUUUAUAAAUGUAAACUCUCCUUCGCUGCCCAAAGGAAACACCCCAUUUAUAAUCGUAAGGUAAAGACUUACCAUAUCUGUAAAGAGGCCAGGCAAAAGCCAGCGUAGUUGGUUAUGCAGUCUUUGGAGGACCUGUGAGGGAGGGAGCGUAAGGAGGAAGGACUAUUUUCCUUGAGUUCUGUUAGCAUACGGAAUUUAGCUUCCAGGCAGUUGUCGUUGGGGCCUAUUCUGCAGUUCAGGUCUCCCAUUAUAUAGAGUGGCGCAUCAGGGCACUUGGAGUAUAUUUUUGGAAAUUGCCCCAUGUACUCUCAAUAUGUACUUGCGGUUUGUAUGGCGAGAUAUAAGCUGAAACAAGAAUGAUACUUUGGGGCCCAGAAUGCAAGAUGAUCCCCAGCACCAAGUGCUUUGAAUCUUUAAAUUCAAUAAUCUGUGUUGUCAAGGAAGUGGAUACCAGUAUUACAAGGGCCUUCCUUGGACGUCCUUUCUCAUACAGUUUAGUGGCCUUAAUUUCGUGGGCAAAGUAACCUUCCAGGAUUAUAUUGAAAGUUGCCCAGGUUUCCAGCAACAUUAUCACAUUGAAAUGUGUUAUAUACUCGUGAAAUGACUCAUCCCCUACUUUGUUGGCCCAACCUGCUAUGUUCCAUGAGAUAAUAUUUAGGCUACUCUCGUCGCCGGCGAUUUGGCUUCAUUGUGGAUGGCAGAUUGUAGUCAGCUCUCCCUCUGUCUCAGUUAUAACACAACCAUUCUUGAGGUGUUUGGAGUGUUGUUCUUUCUGGGGUUGUUUGACAGACUUGUCCAGAUUGCCAGCGAUCAGCAGUAGCGUUCAGUUGUUUGUGGCUUUCGGGGGAUCGGAGUCAAAAGUAAUUAAGUCUGUCUCUGGCAGUCUUGGUGUAAUGCUUUCCUCGGGUGGGGCAACGCCUGGCAAUGGAUUAUCUGUUUUCUGUGACGAUGGUGAGUGGUGGAUUUCGAGAUCUACCAAAGUCCUGGUGGAAGAACUGAUUUUUGACACAGGUGAGUUGGGCAAGCAUUAUUUGUGUGCUUGGCCAUUAAACUCAGAAGGUUUUCUGUCCUGGGGGAUGUUUCGGCCAAAUUCUCCACCCGGAACCUGCCUUAGUGGCACUGGGGUUUGUGCCUUAAACCUUUGGCAAAUGCCCGCUGAUGAUGAGGGCUUGGAUUGAUUGAAGUCGGUCCGACUGCACAGACAAUUCGGCAGCAAAGGCUUUAAUUCUGUGUCUUCAAAAACAUGCCUCAAGAUAACUAUAUAAUCCUGUAGGCAGGUCUUGUAUUUCAGAAGUAGUUUUGGAAUAACUGAAUCAGUGAAUGAUAAUAAAAGUCUAGAAUGUUGAGAGUCCGAUGAAAGCAGGUUUACCGCGGUAAGAUUGUCGUGCUGGAUGUUUAGCAACAGUUUGAAAUUUCGCUUUGCACUUGCGAUUGAAUUCCAGAAAGGGAACAGACCAUUAAAAGGGUAACCAUCGAGAACUACUUGAGAGCUUUGUAGGAUUAGUUUGCUGUUUCCAUGUUUGUUAUUCUUUCUGUAAGAGGUUUUACGGGUUCUGGCACAAGAACAGCUACACCCCUGAGUUUGAAGAUCUUGUUAAGAGCGCUGUGGCCAGACUCUUGGGUGGCAAUAGGACUGUUCCGGGUUGCCAACAGCGCCAACUCAGCCAGGAGGGACACUACCUUUUCUAAUUUGAGGUUAAUUUCCUCUACCAUUCUUGCUGUUAACAAACAGUGGUCCACAAGUACAGUACUUCAGCAUAAGAUGGUACACCCUCAGCUGCUUUCUUUGUUUGUUUGUUUGUUUGUUUGUUUGUUUGUUUGAAAUCUCAUUUUCUGUAAGAUUGGUGGAAGGUGACUGGGGACAAACUAGUGAUUCUAGAUGUCUCUGUUCUGCCCCUCUAGAUUAAUGGCUCAUCCAGCUUCAAAUAAAAUGGUGGUCAAAAUGGUAUUCCAUGACUGAAGGACAUUUAGGUGAGUAUCCCUUGGUUGGCCAGGGAGAAAAUCUCUGUUGUGUUCCGUCUGCAACUCAUUGUGCUAAGACUCUUUCAGGUUGCAGUGACAGAGUUGUCAGAAGAGGCCCUAUUCUGUGUCACCACAAUGAGGCUCACCUGCAGGUAGGAGAAGACUUCUUCUUUUGUUCCAGCCCUUCUCUCCUUUUGUUCCAGCUUGUCUUUCCUUCAGGUUUCUCAGAGUAUCCCUUGCAUGGCUAGGGGGAAAUCUCUAUUGUGUUCCGUCUGCAACUCAUUGGGCUAAGACUCUUUCAGCUGGGAUGACUGAGUUGUCAGAAGAGGCCCUGUUCCAUGUCAUCACGAUGAGGCUCACCUGCAGGUAGGAGAAGACUUCUUCUUUUCUUCCAGCUCUUCUUUCCUUCAGACUUCCCAGAGUUCACUGUUCUUGAAGUGAGAGUCACCAGCAUUAGGACAGUGCUGCUUUAGGUAAGUUCACAUUCUACCACUCAGUCGUCUGUUUUCAAAACAAUGUCUUUUGUAUUGGUCUCUCCUUUUCCUCAUUUUCUUUUCCGCUGGUCUCUCCACAGGUCUCCCCAAAGAGCUCUUCUUAACAUCUUAAGGUUUUCUUUUUCCUGAGAGAACAUUCACAGAAUGUUCUCUCAGGUUUUGCUUUUCCCCUUGUUGCAUUGCUCAAAAAAAAAGCAAGAGACACUGGUGGUUGGCGCUCCUGGUUCCCAGGACGGGGUUCAAAUCCCUGCGGUGUCCAUGCUUACUUCCAAUGCAACUGCUAUCUCUCUCUAUUCCUCUCUAUCCCUCUCUCUAUCCCU